AGUGAACGCUGGCGGCGGGCUUAACACAUGCAAGUCGAACGGCAGCACCGUAAGAGUUUGCUCUUAUGGGUGGCGAGUGGGGGACGGGUGAGGAAUACAUCGGACUCUACUCUUUCGGGGGGCUUCACGAAGGGAAACUUACGCUAAUACCGCAUCUGCCCCUGGGGUGAAAGCAGGGGAUCUUUGCACCUGGCGGGAUUGAACGAGCGGAUGUCGGAUUAGCUAGUUGGCGGGGUAAAGGCCCACCAUGGCGAGGAUCGGUAGCUGGACUGGGAGGAUGGUCGGCCACACUGGAACUGAGACACGGACCAGACUACUGCGGGAGGCAGCAGUGGGGAAUAUUGGGCAAUGGGCGCGAGCCUGAUCCAGCCAUACCGCGUGUGUGGAAAAGGCGUUCGGUGUGUAAAGCCCUUUUGUUGGGAAAGAAAAGCGGCAGGUUGAUACCCCGCGGUUCUGACGGUACCCAAAGAAUAAGCACCGGCUAACUUCGUG
rnacentral:rRNA from 1 species